AUACGAAAUUGACGUCCGGGAAAUUUCGGACGAUAUCAUCGUCGAUGCCUGCCUUUCCUAACAGGACUAAUUUCUACUUUCGACGAUGAACUGGAUUCUCGUGAAAUCUUCCUUGACACGCAUACGGAACCAACAAGCGAAUUUGCCGAAAAUAUCUUGACCUCAAAUUAUGAGUAGACGAAAUUGAGGACUUGCUUUGAUAAAUAAAUAAUUUCGAAGGAAACAUCAGAAGCUUUUUUUAUGUUUCAAAAUUUUCUACUUAGGUUUGACAUAAUUUUACAUAAUUAAUCGUUUUCCGUUAUUCUCCACGUAAACGAUAUUGCUUCUGAAAUAUUUUCAUAUCGAGUUAAGGCUAUUAGUAAUUUUUCAACUUUAAAAUUGUUUAGCUAAGCUUAAGAGAAUUUGAUAUAAAUCAAGGAUUUAAUAUCCUUUUGUUUCGAGCAUAUUUCCCAAUUUAUUUAUAUAAUGUUUGAAAUAAAAAGAUUAUCUGAAUAUAUAAGAAGACAUAGUGAGGAUUCUUGUACAAUAUAGAAAGUUAGAUGACGCCAAAACUGCGGAAUGUUACAGGAUUGGUAACACAUUCGACUUCUGAUUCACACGAUACAUAAAAUUACAAGGCUUUUGUUGUAUCCGAACAAUUACCAUUUUUCAUCUACACAUCCAUGUAUAUAUAUAUAUAUGUAUGUGUAUAUGUAACGGAAUGUGAAUAUUUGUCUCUAACGUGGUAAUAUUGCGGCUUCGUGAUGACAUCAUACACUAUAGUUUGCACAAUUUUUCGCCUUUACCUUUUUUCAAUAUUCGAUACGGAAAAGAAGCAAAACUACAGAAAAAAUCUCAGAUUUAAAAGCUCAUAAUAAAUAUGAAGAAAUUAAUACGUUAAAUUAAGUGGAAAACGAUAUUGCUAUUUUUGUACUCAUAUUUUAUUCAUAUCUCUGUAAAAGCGAACAAUAUUUUCAGUGAUUCCCACCACACAGUGUGCGCCGAUAAAAUUGCAUUAAUUUGUAAUGUCUGCCUUGAUAAAGAAAUUAUCUCGAAAGAAGUAAAUCUCCAUACGAUGAUAAGCCGAAAAGAUGGAAUUGCGCAUGAAUACGUCAGAGGUUAAAAAGAAUCUAUGAUAUAAAUCUCCUAGUGCACUGGACUGAAUAUUUUUGUUUGUGUGUGUAUAAACUCCUCCAAUCAAUAAUGUCAGAGUUAUCGUCCGGGUAUAAUAAAAUGUCCACGAUAGCCGUGGAAAUACCAAAAACGCAAAAUAUUAUAAUUCUUAAUUCAGUUAUUCCACGCUAUCCAUAGCGAUGGAACGUCGUGUAAAUGUACACGCAGGUUUCAAUCAAAUACGAUAAAAUCUUUGACAAAAUUUCCAAAAUACAGUAUAAUUUAGUUUUCCUUAUAAUUAGACUACAUAUUUUUAUGCAAUUUGUUUUGUCUCUGAAUAUAAAUAAGAAAUAAUUUAGAUUAUUUCAUUUAGUAAAUAUUCUACUUCGAAUAUCUUUUUAUAGUUCUGCAUAUUAUGCGCAUUCUAAGCAUCUUAAAUUUAUGAUAAAAAUUUAUAAUACCCAAAAAUCCGUAAUCUACUUAUAUUAUAUACAGUUAAUGAAUAUUGACUUUUUUAAUUACAACAAUCAUUAAAUCCUACUAUAAAUAAACUAACAAUAAGUUUCUAUUGAAUUAUAAAAACAAUGUAUCUGUACAUAUUUCGUUGAAUUUCUUCUCUUGUUUUUUUUUUUGUUUCUAUGAUGAUACAUUGCUGGCGCGUGUAGUGAAAACGUAUGGAAGGGGUAAUGAUUUUUAUUGUCAAGGUUUAGAAUGGCUACAAAGUCAACAUCUACCUCUUACUCAUCUUGUGGCGGAGGAACAAGGAUCACUAAGAUCUUGUAACGGUGAAGAUGCCUUGGAUUUUCCCCAUCAUUAUACCAAAGACGUUCAUGCAUAUCUGUGAAAGAUGGGAUCUACGGAAACAUAUAAUUUAAAAAAUAUUCAGCCAUUAUAAAAAUAUAUAGUAUAAAAUAUUUAGUCGUAACAGCUUGUACAAUAUAACUCUAUUUAAAAGAGAGAAAAUACAGAGAAUUUCAAAUAUUGCAAUAUACAGGAUAUACCAAAAGUCAUGAUGGAAGGCGAAAAAGGGCGGGGAUUCACUGUAGGAGAGAUACGUAGCGUGAUAAUCUUUGAUAUAAGACUCCGUCUUCGACAAAAUUAACUAUGAGGUUUCGUCAAGUAUGCGUGCACUCGAGAGAUAACGAGAGUCGGUUGGACUGGUUUUCUUUGCAUUUAUGUACUGUUCGAUAGUAUACGCAAAAAGGGGGUAAUUCCCCAUGUAAAGGAAGUCGACAGUGUGGAGUGACAAAUUUUUAUAUAAGGCUUCGUUUUUUCGAAGAAAUCAACUACGUGGUUUCGUCAAGUAUGCGUAACGAGAUAACGAGAGUCGGUUGAACGAACUUCUUCUGCCAAUCUGUUGGGCAGAAUACAUACUCGAUGGAAAUUCACAGUCGACCUUCUUUAAUACAAAGGCUUAUAUUAAAAAUUGCCAUUCUACAUUUUCCACUUACUUUCGCAUGCGGAAUCAUUCCCUUUCGAUUUUUAGCAUGAUCCUUGGUACACCCUGUAUCUGGAAAAAUGAAAAAAAAAAAAAAAAGAAAA